rnacentral:rRNA from 1 species
UGAAUGACUCNNGGCAACGGAUAUCUCGGCUCUUGCAUCGAUGAAGAACGUAGCGAAAUGCGAUACUUGGUGUGAAUUGCAGAAUCCCGUGAACCAUCGAGUCUUUGAACGCAAGUUGCGCCCGAGGCCACUAGGUUGAGGGCACGUCUGCCUGGGCGUCACAC